GCGCAUGCGCGUUCAGGUGUUCUACCUCCUAGUGGGAUGGCCUAGGUUGUAUAGGUAUAAAAGUGAUCCUUUCACAUUCUUAGAGCAUCACCACCACCACGACCUAAGGAGCAUCGACACAUCGCGCUGAGGAUCCCCGACGCAUCGACCUAAGGAGCUCAGGAUAACAUCGGCAUCAACCAUGACACCCAGCCAGGACAUCGCCCAUGCCACAGCCGCUCUAGAGCAUGACAUGCAGUCGUGGGACCUGUCAGAGUCACCGUCAACAGCGCUGCUAAUCCAGACCCCCCAGAAUCCACCACCCUCUCCACAAUGCUCGCAGGACCCCCUCAUAUCAGGCCUGUGUGAGGAAACAGUAAUCGACAUCAAACUCGCAACUCUCCACCUGUUGAUGUUGGCGUUGAAUGAGUUUCUACAAGAGACAUGUUAUGGAUGUCAAACAGGCCACCCCAGUCAGGUGCAACACAGUUGCUUGCAGGAAUUGUCUGAGUAUUUCUUCGACACCUACUAUGAUUAUAUGAUGAUAUGGCUCCAGACUGACCGAUUCAUCCCUGCCAUUCGACUGUUUGUACGCUCAUACACCGUAGAUGGGACUGGAACACAAAUCCGCAGGAUUGCUGAACACAUCAUGUGUGAACUGAGAUCAGAGCGACAUAUAGUAUGCGCCAUUAAUGACAACAUUGCGCACCUGCUAGAAGCAAGUAGUUGCGCCCGCCGUGUUAAACCAGCCAUGCUCCGCAUGAUUGGAAACUACUGGGCUGGGAGACACCUGGUUUAAUAUGUGCUGUUCAAGUAUCCAGUGUCUGUGUUUGUGUCUGUGUGAAAAUUAAAUAAAAAGACGUGUUACCAUCAACAUCUUGGUCAUUUGUGGUUUGGAAAUCAUGGAAAACACAUUGCAUAAAAUAUAUCAUGAUCCAGCCCAUCCUGCAGGGUUGGCCAGUUUAAAUAAGCUACUUAUAGUGGCAGGGGAGGCAUAAGGUGUAACACCUCCAAUAUCUCAGGUCAAACAUUAUUUAGAACAAGACGACACUUACACACUCCAUAAACCUGCGAGGAUCCACUUCCCCAGAAAUAGAGUAUUGGUGACAGGGCUUGACAAACAGUUUUAAGCCGAUCUGCUUGACAUGUGUGAAUAUGUGUCAGAUAAUGAUAAUGUGAGAUAUCUGAUAACAUGUAUAGAUGUAUUCUCAAAAUACGCAUGGGUUAGAUGCCUCACAAACAAGACAGGGACUGCUGUAUCAGCUGCUUUUGAGGAUAUACUUAGUGAGGGUAGGAUCCCUGUGAAACUACAAACAGAUGAAGGCAAAGAGUUUUAUAAUGCAACCUUUAAACAGC
rnacentral:lncRNA from 1 species